rfam:Nelumbo nucifera unplaced genomic scaffold scaffold00523, whole genome shotgun sequence
AUCCCAUGGUAAGGACACUUCCUAAGCAUCUCCUUGAAUCGUUCCCAUGCUUCCUACAAGGAUUCCCUCUCAAAUUGAGCAAAUGUAGUAAUAUCAUUUAUUAAUUAU